rnacentral:tRNA from 1 species
GGCCUUGUGGUGUUCUACAUACUAGAUUGCAAAUCUAGGGUCGCAGAUCUAAAGUCUGCCGGGGCUU